AUGAAAACAACCCUUAGUGUAUAAAAUAUGUAUAAGAUCCAGCCGUCCAAAUUAAAAGCAUCUACGGUCCAGAUUUAAAAUUCAUCCUUUUAUUGAUUCGUCUAGUUUGUUGUUCUGAUUCGUAACUAAAAUUGCGUGAAGGGCAAAUAUGGCAUUAAAUCUCUGGGUAAUUAUGGAAAGAUAUUCACGCGGUGGAUAUGUCACAAAGUCUGUUCCGAUAUUCACGCGGUGGAUAUGGAGAGAUUUUCUAUUCCAUCUGGGUAAUUAUGUUUCUUGAGAAUUUCGAACGAAUGUGUACGAAUUUAAUAUUUCUCAUAUUCUCCAUCUGCAGACGUGACGAAAUAGGGUUUGGAAUCGGCAGCUGAAUGGCGAGGACGAAGAAUGCGACGGCGAAGACGAAGAAUGCGACGGCAGAGCGAGGCAAAGAAAAAGUUCAGGAACCUUCAUCUAAUAAAGUUACGAACUGCCAAACAUCACAAGGUUAUUUUGGAGCCUGUGGGAAUGCGAUGCAGGGACAAGGGAAUUCUCAAGAAAACAAAUUAUAACUUGUCUCCGUUAGACAUUAUUUUCUGGAACAUUUUCUUUGAUCUAUACGUUAGACAUUAUUUUUGUGGAAAAUAUCGUACCUUUAUUAUGACUUUCAUUGGAUUAAUUCCAUGUUUUAUCAGUUUUCGUACACUU